rnacentral:rRNA from 1 species
GUCGAGAAUCUUUCACAAUGGGGGCAACCCUGAUGGAGCGACGCCGCGUGGAGGAUAAGGUCUUCGGAUUGUAAACUCCUGUCAUGCGUGAACAAGGUUGCUUGGUUAAUACCUGGGCAAAUUGAUGGUAACGCAAGAGGAAGAGACGGCUAACUCUGUGCCAGCAGCCGCGGUAAUACAGAGGUCUCAAGCGUUGUUCGGAAUCACUGGGCGUAAAGGGUGCGUAGGUGGCGUGGUAAGUCAGAUGUGAAAGCCCGGGGCUCAACCUCGGAACUGCAGCCGAUACUGCCAUGCUAGAGUACUGGAGAGGUGACUAGAAUUCUCGGUGUAGCAGUGAAAUGCGUAGAUAUCGAGAGGAAUACCAAAGGCGUAGGCAGGUCACUGGACAGUUACUGACACUGAGGCACGAAGGCCAGGGGAGCGAACGGGAUUAGAAACCCGGGUAGUCC